UAACUGGAGGAGCUGUGACACCUUUUUGAUCCUUCAUUGACAGCUUUACAUUUCAUUGUGAAGCAGAAUCCACCUAGCUUUGGAUUGUUCACCCACUAACUGGGAACUUGAGCUUUGUGUGGAGCAUCAUGAGACAGGUU
rnacentral:ncRNA from 1 species